UUGAUGGCGACCGGCGCACGGGUGAGUAACACGUAUCCAACCUGCCCUUUACUCGGGGAUAGCCUUUCGAAAGAAAGAUUAAUACCCGAUAGUAUAAUGAUUCCGCAUGGUUUCAUUAUUAAAGGAUUCCGGUAAAGGAUGGGGAUGCGUUCCAUUAGGUUGUUGGUGAGGUAACGGCUCACCAAGCUUUCGAUGGAUAGGGGUUCUGAGAGGAAGGUCCCCCACAUUGGAACUGAGACACGGUCCAAACUCCUACGGGAGGCAGCAUG
rnacentral:rRNA from 1 species